AAUCAACGCUGGCGGCGUGCCUCAGACAUGCAAGUCGAACGAUUAAAGCUCUCUUCGGAGAGUGCAUAGAGUGGCGCACGGGUGAGUAACACGUAAGUAAUCUACCUUCGAGUGGGGAAUAACGUCCGGAAACGGACGCUAAUACCGCAUAAUGCAGCGGCAUCGUAAGAUGACAGUUGUUAAAGAUUUAUCGCUUGAAGAGGAGCUUGCGGCAGAUUAGCUAGUUGGUAAGGUAAUGGCUUACCAAGGCUAUGAUCUGUAACCGGUCUUAGAGGACGGUCGGUCACACUGACACUGAAUAACGGGUCAGACUCCUACGGGAGGCAGCAGUCGGGAAUUUUGGGCAAUGGGCGAAAGCCUGACCCAGCAACGCCGCGUGAAGGAUGAAGUAUUUCGGUAUGUAAACUUCGAAAGAAUAGGAAGAAUAAAUGACGGUACUAUUUAUAAGGUCCGGCUAACUACGUGCCAGCAGCCGCGGUAAGUCUCGCGUGA
rnacentral:rRNA from 1 species